rnacentral:sRNA from 1 species
AUGAAUGCCAUAGACAGAUCUUCACUACUCUUUUUGGAAGCCCUCAAGGUCCAGAUGCUCCUCUGCUCAGCAGAGCGUGAAGUUGAGUUCGAAAAGUUUUGGAGGAUUAGCGCGUUUGAUGACGAGAUGCUGUGAAGCAAUGGUGCCACAGUUUACGUGAAGUUUGCGUCUCCUCUGGUGGUAUGGUUUUUUCUCACCGUCCACGACUCACUGUAUCACAUGUGAUUCAACAAAUGGAAGUUGUUCUCUCUCUUUUGGAUUCAUAACUCAUACGAAUGUUUGUAUCUAACUGUUAAACAUCGAAGGCCACGAAAGGGUAAACAACGUAAUGUUUUGUGAGGACGUGUGUCCUGAAUGUCGUUCGGAUUUGCAUAUUCUUGACAGUAAUAAAAAGUAGAAGCUUUCAG